UAGCUUUGAGGAAACUUCGCCCGGUUUCACUUUCUUCACCGCGCCCAUUUCUGGCUUCCGUUAGAUGAAAACUUGAGAGGAUUUCAACCUCUCUCUGUCUCUGUCUCUGUCUCCCCCGGCGGCCGCUGUUCCCCUGCGGGAGUCCCGGACUCCAGGCUGAAGAAAGCGCUCUGUCUGACGCCGGUUACUUUACUCCGCGCUGUUGCUGGGCGCCGGUGACAGACUCGGCCCCCGGGGGUAAGGAGGGUCCCGGCCGGAGGGAGGGAGGGAGGGAGGGGAAGCGGCCGCGCCGGCCGGGGAUUGAUCAGGUUUGAUGGCGAAACUGAGACUGUAGAAAUUCCCGGGAGAGGUUUGUCCCAGACCCGGCCCCCGUGACGGGAGACUCAAGGAGCAGAUUGUAAAGGGAGCCGGGGUCCCGGUGCGGAGCCUGGAGUCCUUUGGCCACCGGUUGCCCUUGGCCACACCGCACAAGGCACUGACCCCUCCACUGGGAUGGGAGUGGUUCACUGCGCUGUGUUGUUACUGAAUGGGAUCCUCAGCUCAGCCCACGGUGAAUUUCUCGUUAUUGUACCGGGCGAUGGUUUUGUAGCCACUGUAGGUGGAGAUGUGGUGUUGGAAUGUCAGCUUGUACCAGAUAUAUUGACCAGCGACAUGGUCGUGCAGUGGAGGAAGACAGGUCUCAUCUCGCCAGUCCUUGUGUACAGACAUGGACACAAUGACGCCCUCGCUCAACACCAGGAUUACAGAGCAAGGGCCGAACUGUUUAAAGAUGAAGUGACCAAAGGGAACAUUUCCCUCAGAAUAAAGAACGUAAGAAGGUUUGAUGAAGGGGAAUAUACAUGUUCAGUUACAGAGGGAACCGAGUAUGAAGGUUCUCCAGCUCAUCUACAAGUUCGAGGUGAUCAAAUACAGG